UACGUAGGGUGCAAGCGUUGUCCGGAAUUAUUGGCGUAAAGAGCUCGUAGGCGGUCUGUCGCGUCUGCUGUGAAAACUCAGGGCUUAACCCUGAGCCUGCUUCCGAUACGGGCAGACUAGAGGUAUGCAGGGGAGAACGGAAUUCCUGGUGUAGCGGUGGAAUGCCGCAGGAUAUCAGGGAGGAACACCGGUGGCGAAGGCGGU
rnacentral:rRNA from 1 species